ensembl:snoRNA SNORD16 Small nucleolar RNA SNORD16
UGCAAUGAUGUUGUAAUUUGUGUCUUGCUCUGUUCUCAGCAACAGUUGCCUGCUAUAAAGAAGGUUGACAAAAAUUCUUACUGAGCA